UGUAAAGUUCAAGCUCCACUUUGAGGGCGAAACCGCGAAUGGCUCAUUAAAUCAGUCAUAAUCUACUUGAUUGUUUAAAGUUUAUAUGGAUAACUGUGGUAAUUCUAGAGCUAAUACAUGCACAAAGGGGGCGACUCGAGCAAUCGAGAAGCUCUGCGUUUAUUAGACUAAGACCAAUGAUUGUGGCAACACAAUCUUAUUUAAGGUGACUCUGAGUAAAUAACGGGUGAAAGCCCGUGUUGCUGACCUGACAUCCCAAAAAGGCCCCUAAAAAGGUCUUGUCAGGCAAAUCAAUCGAGUGUCUGCUCUAUCAACUGUGGAUGGUAGGAUAAUUGCCUACCAUGGUGAUGACGGGUAACGGGGAGUUAGGGCUCGACUCCGGAGAACAAGCCUGAGAAACGGCUAGUAGGACUAAGGUCUGCAGCAGGCGCGAAACUUACACAAUGCUAGAUUACAGUUAGCGAUGUAGUGAAGAAAAAUAACGAUGUACUUCCAUCUAAACAUGGUAGUACAAUUGGAAUGAGACGACCCUAAACCAGUCAGUCGAGUAACAAAUGGAGGGCAAGUCUGGUGCCAGCAGCCGCGGUAAUUCCAGCUCCAUUAGCAUACAUUAAAGUUGUUGCGGUUAAAAAGCUCGUAGUUGAAUUUUAGGCGAGCUCUAUUGGGGUGCAACCGACAAGGUUUACGUGUGUGCCUUCCUCCGUGAAGCUCCCGUUAAACUGGUUGUUUACCUUCCUAUAGGAACUCGCUGUUUCGUCACUUAAUCGAGUGCGAAGCGGGCUGGUACAUGGGUUCAAAUUUCGAAUUUGCCCUGUUUCAGCAAGUUUACCUUGAGAAAAUUAGAGUGCUCACAGCAGGCAGUUGGGGUGUAAAAGCUCCUUUAUGCUUGAAUAAUGUUGCAUGGAAUAAUAGAAUACGGCCUCGGUUCUAUUCUGUUGGUCUUAUAGAACAACAAAUAAGUUGGUUAAAGCGACCAAAAGUCCGUUUGUGGAUGUGAUCUUAAGCGGGCUUUACUGGGUUCAGCUACCGAUGUUAUAUUGCCUCUGGCCUCAAAACCUCUGAGCUAUGCAUCUUGUUGACACCCAAUACAUGUUCCCUUUUGAUCAUUAAAGCAUCCCUUAUGUGGCUAGCUUUUUAAUCAACUGAGGCAAUGGUUAAAAGAAAUAGUCGCGGCGGCAUCAGUACUGUAUCGUGAGAGGUGAAAUUCUUAGACCGAUGCAAGACUAACUGAAGCGAAAGCGUUUGCCGAGGAUAUUUUCAUUAAUCAAGAACGAAAGUUAGAGGUUCGAAGGCGAUCAGAUACCGCCCUAGUUCUAACCAUAAACGUUGCCAACUAGCAAUUGGGUUGCGAUUCCUUUAAUCGGAGCCUUAAAACUCCGAUCAUUAUGAUCCACCCAGCGGCUCUCGUAGGGAAACCAAAGUGUUUGGGUUCCGGGGGAAGUAUGAUUGCAAAGUUGAAACUUAAAGGAAUUGACGGAAGGGCACCACCAGGAGUGGAGCCUGCGGCUUAAUUUGACUCAACACGGGGAAACUUACUAGAUUAGAACUCUGGAAUGAUUGACAGAUUGAUAGCUCUUUCUUGAUUCAGAGGAUGGUGGUGCAUGGCCGUUCUUGAUUCGUAUUCCGAAACGUCUGCUUAAUUGCGAUAACGAGUGAGACCUCACCCAACUAACUAGUCGUUUGGUGCGCUGUGGAACGCAAAAGUUCUUAGUUUAGUGUGCUUGUUGGCGCAGGCAACUGUUGUCAGCUGGUCGCUUUAUUAGGAAUGUUCUCUGCUCGCCAGCGGACUUCUUAGAGGGAUAAACGGUGUUUUAGCCGUAAGAAACGAGGCAAUAACAGGUCUGUGAUGCCCUUAGAUAUUCUAGGCCGCACGCGUGCUACAAUGGCGUGUGCAGAAAGCUUGUUCGAGGUUCGUCCAGAGAGAACUCUCUGUUUGGUUGGCGUUAGCUCGCAAGGGUUGGCGUUGGUCGGCAGGAAAGUGACUUUGGUUCUCGGGCCGAGAGAAACCGUAGCCGAAAGGUUACGGCAAUCAAAAAUACACGCCGUGAUUUGGGAUUGGGGAUUGCAAUUGUUGCCCAUGAACGAGGAAUUCCCAGUAAGCGCAAUUCAUCAUAUUGCGUUGAUUACGUCCCUGCCCUUUGUACACACCGCCCGUCGCUACUACCGAUUGGAAGUUUUAGUGAGGCAUUUGGACCUGUAGUCCAUGAAAGGGGCAACUCUUUCGGGACCGCGGGGAAGUCUGUCGAACUCAAAUUUCUAGAGGAAGUAAAAGUCGUAACAAGGUUUCCGU
rnacentral:rRNA from 1 species